UUUCUUACUUUUCUCCUGACUUUAACAAAAAUAGCUGUAAAAACCCCUGUAAGGAAGGAAGGAAGGAAGGAAGGGUUUUUUAUCUUAAAGUUCUGGGCAAGACUCCAUCAUUGUGGGUCUGGGGCUGCUGAUCACAAAGUCCACAGGGGGAACAUUUCAGAUUCAUCCUGUAACAUGGGGUGAUGGACAUACCAGCAAAAGUAGCUUUUUACGGCAUUUCCAUAUACGAUACGCACUGCUCCGAGGCUACGCACGCAGAGCAUUCCAGUGCUACGAAGCCAGCCCAACAGAGAGGAAGCUUCUAGUCGGUAUAAAUGCUCUCUGGCCUGUCUAGCCUCCCUACCUCCAACUGCUUUCUUCUGGAUCAAUUCCAAAGUGGGAACAGUACCUGUUUCCAGAGAAGCUCAAGUACCUCAGGCGAGACCUACGAUCCUUGGCCAGUGAGCACUUUCUUAUGGCCUAGUGAGAAUAGCCACGAUUCAUUCAGCUAGGAUUCAAAGGAAACGGAAGAAAACACAAACAGAAAGAUGGCUAAUGCUCAUGGGUUCGAGGGACUGAGGCUAUUACAGUGCUCACACGCUUGGUGUUCUGCUGGGUGGCCUGCAUAGGAUUCCAGGCACAGAAGAUGUAGGGGAUCCCAGAGUAAACCAUAUUGAUAAACUCUGGAUUUGAUUGAGAGAUCUAUGUGUAUGUUGUAUGUGUACCUGGGUGUGCACAUCUGGAGGACAAAAAUGUAUCUUCCCAUUUCAGUCUUUA
rnacentral:sRNA from 1 species